rnacentral:rRNA from 1 species
CAUGCCGUAAACGAUGAUUACUAGGUGUGGGGGGUCUGACCCCUUCCGUGCCGGAGUUAACACAAUAAGUAAUCCACCUGGGGAGUACGACCGCAAGGUUGAAACUCAAAGGAAUUGACGGGGGCCCGCACAAGCAGUGGAGUAUGUGGUUUAAUUCGAAGCAACGCGAAGAACCUUACCAGGUCUUGACAUCCAACGAAUCCUUCAGAGAUGAGGGAGUGCCUUUCGGGGAACGUUGAGACAGGUGG